UGGUCGAGUCGGCCUGCGCGGAAGAUGUAACGGGGCUAAACCAUGCACCGAAGCUGCGGCAGCGACGCUUAUGCGUUGUUGGGUAGGGGAGCGUUCUGUAAGCCUGUGAAGGUGUGCUGUGAGGCAUGCUGGAGGUAUCAGAAGUGCGAAUGCUGACAUAAGUAACGAUAAAGCGGGUGAAAAGCCCGCUCGCCGGAAGACCAAGGGUUCCUGUCCAACGUUAAUCGGGGCAGGGUGAGUCGACCCCUAAGGCGAGGCCGAAAGGCGUAGUCGAUGGGAAACAGGUUAAUAUUCCUGUACUUGGUGUUACUGCGAAGGGGGGACGGAGAAGGCUAUGUUGGCCGGGCGACGGUUGUCCCGGUUUAAGCGUGUAGGCUGGUUUUCCAGGCAAAUCCGGAAAAUCAAGGCUGAGGCGUGAUGACGAGGCACUACGGUGCUGAAGCAACAAAUGCCCUGCUUCCAGGAAAAGCCUCUAAGCAUCAGGUAACAUCAAAUCGUACCCCAAACCGACACAGGUGGUCAGGUAGAGAAUACCAAGGCGCUUGAGAGAACUCGGGUGAAGGAACUAGGCAAAAUGGUGCCGUAACUUCGGGAGAAGGCACGCUGAUAUGUAGGUGAAGUCCCUCGCGGAUGGAGCUGAAAUCAGUCGAAGAUACCAGCUGGCUGCAACUGUUUAUUAAAAACACAGCACUGUGCAAACACGAAAGUGGACGUAUACGGUGUGACGCCUGCCCGGUGCCGGAAGGUUAAUUGAUGGGGUCAGCGCAAGCGAAGCUCUUGAUCGAAGCCCCGGUAAACGGCGGCCGUAACUA
rnacentral:rRNA from 1 species